rnacentral:rRNA from 1 species
GACGAAGGGGGCUAGCGUUGUUCGGAAUUACUGGGCGUAAAGCGCGUGUAGGCGGUUGUUUAAGUCAGGUGUGAAAGCCUUGAGCUCAACUCAAGAAAUGCACUUGAUACUGGAUGACUAGAGGACCGGAGAGGAUAGUGGAAUUUCCAGUGUAGUGGUGAAAUACGUAGAGAUUGGGAAGAACACCAGUGGCGAAGGCGGCUAUCUGGACGGUUUCUGACGCUAAGACGCGAAAGCGUGGGGAGCAAACAGG